UGCAAGUCGAACGGCAGCACGGACUUCGGUCUGGUGGCGAGUGGCGAACGGGUGAGUAAUACAUCGGAACGUGCCCAGUCGUGGGGGAUAACGUAGCGAAAGCUACGCUAAUACCGCAUACGAUCUACGGAUGAAAGCGGGGGAUCGCAAGACCUCGCGCGAUUGGAGCGGCCGAUGGCAGAUUAGGUAGUUGGUGGGGUAAAGGCUCACCAAGCCGACGAUCUGUAGCUGGUCUGAGAGGACGACCAGCCACACUGGGACUGAGACACGGCCCAGACUCCUACGGGAGGCAGCAGUGGGGAAUUUUGGACAAUGGGCGCAAGCCUGAUCCAGCCAUUCCGCGUGCAGGAUGAAGGCCCUCGGGUUGUAAACUGCUUUUGUACAGAACGAAAAGGCUCUGGUUAAUACCUGGGGCUCAUGACGGUACUGUAAGAAUAAGCACCGGCUAACUACGUGCCAGCAGCCGCGGUAAUACGUAGGGUGCAAGCGUUAAUCGGAAUUACUGGGCGUAAAGCGUGCGCAGGCGGUGAUGUAAGACAGAGGUGAAAUCCCCGGGCUCAACCUGGGAACUGCCUUUGUGACUGCAUCGCUGGAGUACGGCAGAGGGGGAUGGAAUUCCGCGUGUAGCAGUGAAAUGCGUAGAUAUGCGGAGGAACACCGAUGGCGAAGGCAAUCCCCUGGGCCUGUACUGACGCUCAUG
rnacentral:rRNA from 1 species